UCCUCUUCAUGGGUUCCUCAUGCCACACCUGAAUUCCCUGCCACCAGCUGAAUGCCACUGGAGGUUAUUACAGAGGGGUUAAUCUCUGAGCUUAAUUAGUCCAGUACACAACAAUCAGGGAGCUAAUCAAUACGUAGAGAUGUGUCACUCCUUCCUUAUAGCACGCCACUGUUGGCAGGAAGUAAAAAAUUACCCCACAGGUAAAACCAGCAAAGCUUCUGCCUUCAACUGGCCGACAGAAAAACCAGAAGCUGCACUCAGCGUCACUCGAACUAACACCCCGAAAUGGGACGGCGACCUCGCCUGGGCUCUGGGAACCUUUGAACUUCUCCGAGCAGAGCCGUAAAGCUCCCAGCAGGAGGUCAGGGCUUCCUGCUCGCCGUGCAGCGAGAGCAGCGUGCGAGGAGGCCGCCGCGUCCCACACGGCAGCAGCAGGAAGUCACGGAGGCCUCCGCCAACAGCACGUUCACCAGGCCGGGUAAAACCCUCACGAGCUGCUGGGCCGAGCUCGGUCAAAGUGCAUAGCAUUUUGGUAAUCCAGGAACUGCCGGAGCAUUUGGGCUUUGAAAAUACCUUUGAGACAAACAUCACCGAGAGCUGCUGAGAGGAUCAGCUCAAAACACUGCUGUUUGCUUUGCUACAGCCCUGCCGGCACACUGCUCUGAGGGGAACACACCUUCAGGAUUCAGGGACGUACAGCACAAAGAAGGAGCGUUCCUAUGGCCAAAGGAUGCAGAUUUUAAACAUGGCUUG